UCCCUGGUGGCCUAGUGGUUAAGGACUGGGUAUUGUCACUACUGUGGCUCGCAUUACUGCUGUGGCUCAGGUUGCUCAGGUUCGAGUCCUGGCCUGGGAA
rnacentral:tRNA from 1 species